rnacentral:rRNA from 1 species
AAACUUUACAAUGCGGGAAACCGCGAUAAGGGGACACUGAGUGCCAGCACCAUGUGUUGGCUGUCCGCAUGUAUAAAUCACAUGUGUUAGCAAGGGCCGGGCAAGACCGGUGCCAGCCGCCGCGGUAACACCGGCGGCUCGAGUGGUAACCGUUAUUAUUGGGUCUAAAGGGUCUGUAGCCGGCCGGAUAAGUCUCUUGGGAAAUCCAGCAGCUUAACUGUUGGGCUUUCAGGAGAUACUGUCUGGCUCGAGGCCGGGAGAGGUGAGAGGUACUUCAGGGGUAGGGGUGAAAUCUUGUAAUCCUUGAAGGACCACCGGUGGCGAAGGCGUCCUACCAGAACAGGUCCGACGGUGAGGGACGAAAGCUAGGGGCACGAACCGGAUUAGAUACCCGGGUAGUCCUAGCCGUAAACGAUGCUCGCUAGGUGUCACGGCAGUCGUGAAUUGCCGUGGUGCCGUAGGGAAGCCGUGAAGCGAGCCACUUGGGAAGUACGACCGCAAGGUUGAAACUUAA